GGUUGUGGCUCAGCGGUAGAGCACUCACCUAGCAUGUGUGAGGCCCUGGGUUCAAUCCUAAGCACCA
rnacentral:tRNA from 1 species